rnacentral:rRNA from 1 species
AACGAACGCUGGCGGCAGGCCUAACACAUGCAAGUCGAGCGGACCCUUCGGGGUUAGCGGCGGACGGGUGAGUAACGCGUGGGAAUAUGCCCUUCUCUACGGAAUAGUCCUGGGAAACUGGGGGUAAUACCGUAUACGCCCUUUGGGGGAAAGAUUUAUCGGGGAAGGAUUAGCCCGCGUUGGAUUAGGUAGUUGGUGGGGUAAUGGCCUACCAAGCCGACGAUCCAUAGCUGGUUUGAGAGGAUGAUCAGCCACACUGGGACUGAGACACGGCCCAGACUCCUACGGGAGGCAGCAGAGGGGAAUCUUAGACAAUGGGGGCAACCCUGAUCUAGCCAUGCCGCGUGAGUGAUGAAGGCCUUAGGGUUGUAAAGCCCUUUCAGCUGGGAAGAUAAUGACGGUACCAGCAGAAGAAGCCCCGGCUAACUCCGUG